CAGCAGCAUAUUCAACCUUAUUGAGUGUGUCUGUCUGUCAUUUCCUCGCCGAUUCCUGAUUUCUCCUAGCCUUCACCCCUGUUCUCCCGCGGUCGGUGGUCUCCACGAGAGGCGGUCCGUGGCAGGUGGCGCCCGAACAGGGACCGAAGGCCAGGUAAUCUUUCUUUCUUUCUCCCUCGAAAUCAGGUACGGCUCUUACCAGGGAACUGCAGUCCCGCCGGUAAAGGAUCACCGGUUAAGAAAACUCUGAGAUCCUAACAGUGACCCAAAGAAGACUAUGGGACACCACGAUGUCUCCGCCUGGAUAACAAUGACGCUGACCACUGGGCAAGACGAUCCCCAGUGCAACACCAGCUGCCAGGACCGGGUCCAGACUAUGGACAAACAGCAGGACCUUGGAAAAUUGAUUGCACCACUUUUACCUACACAAAAUAAGGAUGCCGACUCCCCCAUCUGGAUCCCAGACAGACUCGUCCUGGCGGUCGCUGGAGGUGCAGCGCAGAAAGAGGAAAUGGAGAAAGCAGAAGAAACGGCUGACAUGGCAGAUGAAGAAAAUGAAACUAACUUCGCCGAGAAAUCGGGAAAUGACUUGGACGAAAAUAAAGCACCUGGUAAAAGAAGCGAAAGGCUUACUUAAAGAGCAGGGAAAGCCCCUAACUGCAAGCAUGUACUUUCUGGCUUUCCUGGCAUUGAUCGCAGCUCCCCCGGGGGCUGAGGGUGUUGCCUUUUGGGGCCUAUGUGCCUCAUCCGCCGAUUUUGCAGCCUGUGGGUUGGUUAGACAGGGAGCCAAUUAAGAUAUUAACCAAUGAUUCAGUCAGACUAGGUGGGUCCCAGGACUCUGAUGCAAGGUCUCGCUCGUCCUCUUUGAUAACCUUUGAGGGCAGAGCAGAUUCGCUACCGAUUUGCCUCACGCUGCAGGGGAAGGCUGUGUGAGUACAGGCUAUAGGACCUUCCUUACUGCCGAUCCUGAUGAAGGAAGUGCCGAUAAGCGAUGGAUCUGGAAAACACAGAUGCAGACUUUAGGGGAUCCCUCCUAUAAUGAGAACUUUAUUAAAGUAAAGGAAAUGCCUAUAGAUCCUUGUAUUCAAAAGUACCGUGACAAGGAUCAGUUUUGGGACUCCUCCUUAACUAAGUUUCCUGCUUAGCUUACCUGUGGAUUUUCUAAUGCUGCCACAUGGUAUCAACCAAAAAAAUUCAUCCUUGAAGAUAUGGGAUUAUUCUAAUUCAAAUGGUCAGAAAAAUGUUUAUGAAAAUUAUAUAACUAUACAUAAAAAUAAAUUUCAUAAAUAUUCUUAUAAUGGAGAAGGGGAACCACUAAGAAGAUGAUUUUCCCCUGGUUUUGUUAAACCCACAUGGUAUGCUCAAGAAGGGAAUGUUACUAGAAAGCAUGCUGAUUUGUUUAGACUUGUUGCUUCUGCCAAUAUGUUUUUAGAAAAGAAACCCAACACCACUAAAGCUCUUCCUUAUGGAAUUAGGGCUUGUGUUUCAUAUCCUAAUGCUUUGCUUUUAGGGCAGCAAAUUCAUGUUAAAAUCUCUCAAGUGGGUAAAUCUUACCGUGUAAACUGCUACUCUUGUAAAAUUACUAAUUGUAUUUCUUCUGCUGAAACAAAAGAAUUGGGUACUAUGAUUAUUGUUCGCCGUCCUCCUUUUGUAAUGUUACCUGUUGAACUUGGGGAUGAUCCUUGGUAUGAUAAUUCAGCUUUACAAGUACUCACUACCCUAAAUGACUUAAUUAGGCCGAAAAGGUUUGUAGCUGCUCUUAUUUUAGGAAUUGCAGCCUUGAUUUCCAUAAUUACAACCUUUG